rnacentral:rRNA from 1 species
AACGAACGCUGGCGGUGUGCUUAACACAUGCAAGUCGAACGAGAAAGUUUCCUUCGGGAAGCUAGUAAAGUGGCGCAAGGGUGAGUAACACGUGAAUAAUCUGCCCUCGAGAUCGGGAUAACCUGAGGAAACUUAGGCUAAUACCGGAUAAGACCACAUUUCAUAUGGAAUGUGGGAAAAGGAGUCUCAAUCUUCACUCGAGGAUGAGUUCGCGGACCAUUAGCUUGUUGGUGAGAUAAAAGCUCACCAAGGCAACGAUGGUUAGCCGGCCUGAGAGGGCGAUCGGCCACACUGGGACUGAGACACUGCCCAGACUUCUACGGAAGGCUGCAGUCGAGAAUCUUUCGCAAUGCCCGAAAGGGUGACGAAGCGACGCCGCGUGAGUGAGG